AGUGAACGCUGGCGGUAGGCCUAACACAUGCAAGUCGAACGGCAGCACAGAGGAGCUUGCUCCUUGGGUGGCGAGUGGCGGACGGGUGAGGAAUACAUCGGAAUCUACUCUGUCGUGGGGGAUAACGUAGGGAAACUUACGCUAAUACCGCAUACGACCUACGGGUGAAAGCAGGGGACCUUCGGGCCUUGCUCGAUUGAAUGAGCCGAUGUCGGAUUAGCUAGUUGGCGGGGUAAAGGCCCACCAAGGCGACGAUCCGUAGCUGGUCUGAGAGGAUGAUCAGCCACACUGGAACUGAGACACGGUCCAGACUCCUACGGGAGGCAGCAGUGGGGAAUAUUGGACAAUGGGCGCAAGCCUGAUCCAGCCAUACCGCGUGGGUGAAGAAGGCCUUCGGGUUGUAAAGCCCUUUUGUUGGGAAAGAAAUCCAGCUGGCUAAUAUCCGGUUGGGAUGACGGUACCCAAAGAAUAAGCACCGGCUAACUCCGUGCCAGCCGCCGCGGUAA
rnacentral:rRNA from 1 species